GUAGAGAAAGUAUUGGCACUUGUGACGAUAAAGAAUUCCAAAGAAGAGUACUUGAAUACUAUCAACAUGCUUCUAAGGAAUAUAAUGAUUUAAACGGUAAGGUUGAAGCACUAUUCAAGGAUGUAUAUAAAAGUGCAAGUGAUAUUAUUGAGCGCAAUAAAAAAAGAAUGAAUGAAGAAUUAAGUAAUAGUACUACUGAUAANUAUUGGCACUUGUGACGAUAAAGAAUUUCAAAGAAGAGUACUUGAAUACUAUCAACAUGCUUCUAAGGAAUAUAAUGAUUUAAACGAUAAGGUUGAAGCGCUAUUCAAAGAUGUGUACGAAAGUGCAAGUAAUAUUAUUGACUGCAAUAAAAAAAGAAUGAAUGAAGAGUUAAGUAGUAGUACUACUGCCAAUGCAAAACAAGUUUCUGAACAGGUGUCACAAGCUAAAAGGGAAUUAAAGGCACACACAGCUGAUAUUGCCGCUAAAGUUGCAGCAGAAGUGAUAAAAGGACAUCAAAAUGGUAAACGUAAGAGUGAGGUUAUAUCUUCACUUUCACGUGAUUUAAGUAAAAAAUUGCAUUAGCUUUCGUGCAACAACAAUCUAUAUUAUAAAUUGGUAGUGUAGAUUGUGAUUUUAGUUUAUGUAGGGAAGUAGAGAAUCUUUUCUACUAUAAUUUUAUGUUAUUCCUUAGCAAAAAAUUAAAUAAAAUUACUUUUUUAUAUUGGAAGAUAUCAUUGCAGAUGUUACAGGUUCGAUUGAGCUUCAUUAUUGAACUAAUUAUACCUUUGGUAAAAGCUGGUGAUAAUCAAGUUAUGGAUCUUCUUAAAUCACACUUUGGCAUCUCAGAAUUUGCAAGCAACUAGUUAUAGUA